rnacentral:rRNA from 1 species
CGCGUAGGUGGUUCGAUGAGUCGGAGGUGAAAUCCCUCGGCUCAACCGAGGACCCGCGUCCGAUACUGUCGAACUUGAGUGCAGGAGAGGAGAGCGGAAUUCCCAGUGUAGCGGUGAAAUGCGUAGAUAUUGGGAGGAACACCGGUGGCGAAGGCGGCUCUCUGGACUGUUACUGACACUGAGGCGCGAAAGCUAGGGGAGCAAACGGGAUUAGAUACCCCGGUAGUCCUAGCCGUAAACGAUGGGCACUAGGUGUGGGAGGUAUCGACCCCUUCCGUGCCGCAGCUAACGCAUUAAGUGCCCCGCCUGGGAGUACGGCCGCAAGGUUGA